rnacentral:tRNA from 1 species
GCACCCGUAGCUCAGCUGGAUAGAGCGCUGCCCUCCGAAGGCAAGGCUAAGUCAAGUGGGUAAUGGGUGUACGA